UCCCUAGUAUCUCAGAUGGUAAAGAACCUGCCUGCAAUGUAGGGGACCUGGGUUCAUUCCCUGGGUUGGGAA
rnacentral:tRNA from 1 species